rnacentral:rRNA from 1 species
UGGGGAAUCUUGCGCAAUGGGCGAAAGCCUGACGCAGCAACGCCGCGUGAGGGAUGACGGCCUUCGGGUUGUAAACCUCUUUUGUCAGGGACGAUGAUGACGGUACCUGACGAAUAAGCCACGGCUAACUACGUGCCAGCAGCCGCGGUAAUACGUAGGUGGCAAGCGUUGUCCGGAUUUACUGGGCGUAAAGAGCGCGCAGGCGGUCGUUCAAGUCGCGUGUGAAAGCCCCCGGCUCAACUGGGGAGGGUCACGCGAUACUGAUCGACUCGAAGGCAGGAGGGGGUAGUGGAAUUCCCGGUGUAGUGGUGAAAUGCGUAGAUAUCGGGAGGAACACCAGUGGCGAAGGCGACUACCUGGCCUGUUCUUGACGCUGAGGCGCGAAAGCGUAGGGGAGCGAAACGGGAUUAGACUACCCCGGUAGUCCUAGCCGUAAACGAUGGACACGUAGGUGUUGGUGGUAUCAACCCCGCAGUGCCGAAGCUAACGCAUUAAGU